UGACACGUAGGCACCAAGCGUUGUCCGGAUUUAUUGGGCGUAAAGAGCUCGUAGGCGGUUGAGUAAGUCGGGUGUGAAAACUCUGGGCUUAACCCAGAGCCGCCACUCGAUACUGCUCUGACUUGAGUUCGGUAGGGGAGCAGGGAAUUCCUAGUGUAGCGGUGAAAUGCGCAGAUAUUAGGAGGAACACCGGUGGCGAAGGCGCUGCUCUGGGCCGAAACUGACGCUGAGGAGCGAAAGCGUGGGUAGCAAACAGGAUUAGAUACCCUGGUAGUCCACGCCGUAAACGUUGGGCACUAGGUGUGGGUUCCAACCAACGGAAUCCGCGCCGUCGCUAACGCAUUAAGUGCCCCGCCUGGGGAGUACGGCGGCAACGCUA
rnacentral:rRNA from 1 species